rnacentral:lncRNA from 1 species
AGACAUCCAUAUCCUCCAUCCCUAAUAAAAAGUAACCAAAAGAUAGUAACUCACACCACAUCACAAAAUACUCAAUUAGUGUCCAAUAGUUGGAUUUGCAGUUCCAUCAAUGACAUAGCUAUAAUAAUGAAUUGAAAGACCAGCACCAGCCGACCACUCUACAAAUACCGAACACACAUCGUCUCUCUUGGUGCAUACGCAGUUGUGCAGCACCAGCACUCCUCCG